UACAGAGGGUGCGAGCGUUGUCCGGAAUCACUGGGCGUAAAGGGCGCGUAGGUGGUGGCUUAAGCGUGCGGUGAAAGCUCGGGGCUCAACCCCGAGUCGGCCGUGCGAACUGGGCUCACUGGAGCAUAGUAGAGGCAGGUUGGAAUUCCGGGUGUAGCGGUGGAAUGCGCAGAUAUCAGGAGGAACACCGGUGGCGAAGGCGGGUCUCUGGGCCGAUAACUGACGCUGAGGAGCGAAAGCGUGGGGAGCGAACAGG
rnacentral:rRNA from 1 species